rnacentral:rRNA from 1 species
CCUACGGGGUGCAGCAGUGGGGAAUAUUGGACAAUGGGCGAAAGCCUGAUCCAGCCAUGCCGCGUGUGUGAAGAAGGCCUUCGGGUUGUAAAGCACUUUCAGUGGGGAAGAAAGCCUUGGGGCUAAUACCCUCGAGGAAGGACAUCACCCACAGAAGAAGCACCGGCUAACUCCGUGCCAGCAGCCGCGGUAAUACGGAGGGUGCGAGCGUUAAUCGGAAUUACUGGGCGUAAAGCGCGCGUAGGCGGUCUGAUAAGCCGGUUGUGAAAGCCCCGGGCUCAACCUGGGAACGGCAUCCGGAACUGUCAGGAUAGAGUGCAGGAGAGGAAGGUAGAAUUCCCGGUGUAGCGGUGAAAUGCGUAGAGAUCGGGAGGAAUACCAGUGGCGAAGGCGGCCUUCUGGACUGACACUGACGCUGAGGUGCGAAAGCGUGGGUAGCAAACAGGAUUAGAUACCCGUGUAGUC